GCCACGGACGCCACAGGGACGAACGCCACGGACGCCACCGGAACUAAACACCAACAAUUCCUUAAAUGCUGUAAACAUAUUUUUUAGAGAAAACAAACAGAUGAUUUGUUGAACUGUUGGGAUGUGAACAGAACCAGAACCAGAACCAGAACCAGAACCAUUACAUACAGAUCAGGUUUGAUGUGACGCUGGUGAACCUCAAUCAUCUCAUGAAAGUAGAACCAGGAACCAGCAGAGAGACGGAUCUGAGCUUCAACUGAACUGAAGUCAACCUGAUGAAACAAACAAACAAACAAACAAACAAACAAACAAACAAACAAACAAACAAACAAACAAACAAAACAACGUUUACAGUUCUCAAAUGUAACCUGUGUUCCUGCAGACAUCGACGUUCUUCUGCUCGUCUGCAGUGACCAUCAUGAAACAGGAGGUGACCUCGAAUGACCUCAGAAGAAGCUGCAUCAGGACCAGUUUGGAGAAGGAAGAUGGAAUUCUGGAUCUCCUGACAGACGGGCCUCAUCCAGAACCAGGAGACAUCUGGACGCCGGCGGACCCCCCCCCAUAGAGAAACGUGACCUCGUCAGAACCGAGUCCGAAGCAGUUCCUUUCCUUCUCCGUCCUGCUGGAGGUCACCAGGUCAGUUCGGGCUUCACGCUGUGUGUCCGUCACAGCAGCUCCACCAGAACCUUCCUGCUCCAGGAGGUCCAGAACCAACCUCAUCAGCAGUCCCAUACCAUGACACCACCACCACCAGGAUAAACAGCUGAAGCAGAGCAGGUUGGAUCUGUGGAACCGGCCCGCCGCCGGACUGGCUCGGUUCUGAAGAAACACAACAGACGGACUAAGGACGAGCUGGGGGGGCGGUCAGGACCGUCCAAUCAGAAGCCAGCAGCUCAUCAGCCAGUCGUGACUGUCCUCCUGCUGGCUCACUAACGAGCGCUGACCUUAACGAGCUUAACGAGAACAGACAGACGUCCACGUCCACGCUGGAGGUGGAGCAGGUCUGACAGGAGGAUCAGACACCUGAACUUAACGGACGGGGGAGGGGGGUUCACCACAGUUUGACAGCACAGGGGGGAGGGGCCUGAUGAUG